GCACAACGAGAUGAGGCUGGUCAUUGUCAUUUUCUGAUCUGUGAACGGGCAGGAAGCUGCACAACGAGAUGAGGCUGGUCAUUGUCAUUUUCUGAGCUAUGAACGGGCAGGAAGCUGCACAACGAGAUGAGGCUGGUCAUUGUCAUUUUCUGAGCUAUGAACGGGCAGGAAGGUG